AUUGGUUGACCCUCCGGAGUCUCUCUGCAGGGAGCGGCUCCAAACAACUUUCCUAAUGCAUGUUGAGCAAUCGGCAUGUGUGAAGCGAGGAAAGAAAAGGUUUCGAGUUGAAGGAAUCAUG
rnacentral:ncRNA from 1 species